GACGAACGCUGGCGGCGUGCCUAAUACAUGCAAGUUGAGCGCUGAAGGUUGGUACUUGUACCAACUGGAUGAGCAGCGAACGGGUGAGUAACGCGUGGGGAAUCUGCCUUUGAGCGGGGGACAACAUUUGGAAACGAAUGCUAAUACCGCAUAAAAACUUUAAACACAAGUUUUAAGUUUGAAAGAUGCAAUUGCAUCACUCAAAGAUGAUCCCGCGUUGUAUUAGCUAGUUGGUGAGGUAAAGGCUCACCAAGGCGAUGAUACAUAGCCGACCUGAGAGGGGGAGCGGCCACAUUGGGACGGAGACACGGCACAAACUCCUACGGGAGGCAGCAGGAGGGAAUCUUCGGCAAUGGACGAAAGUCUGACCGAGCAACGCCGCGUGAGUGAAGAAGGUUUUCGGAUCGUAAAACUCUGUUGGUAGAGAAGAACGUUGGUGAGAGUGGAAAGCUCAUAAAGUGACGGUAACUACCCAGAAAGGGACGGCUAACUACGUG
rnacentral:rRNA from 1 species